GCUAGGAUGAACGCUAGCUACAGGCUUAACACAUGCAAGUCGAGGGGCAGCAUUGGAGUAGCAAUACUCAGAUGGCGACCGGCGCACGGGUGAGUAACACGUAUCCAACCUGCCGCUUACUCGGGGAUAGCCUUUCGAAAGAAAGAUUAAUACCCGAUGGUAUAAAGAGUUCGCAUGUUCUCUUUAUUAAAGAAUUUCGGUAAGCGAUGGGGAUGCGUUCCAUUAGAUAGUUGGCGGGGUAACGGCCCACCAAGUCUACGAUGGAUAGGGGUUCUGAGAGGAAGGUCCCCCACAUUGGAACUGAGACACGGUCCAAACUCCUACGGGAGGCAGCAGUGAGGAAUAUUGGUCAAUGGACGAGAGUCUGAACCAGCCAAAGUAGCGUGAAGGAUGACUGCCCUAUGGGUUGUAAACUUCUUUUAUAAGGGAAUAAAGUGAGGGACGUGUCCCUUUUUGUAUGUACCUUAUGAAUAAGGAUCGGCUAACUCCGUGCCAGCCGCCGC
rnacentral:rRNA from 1 species